AAUGGGCAGCACAACAGGUAGCGAAGCCGCGAGGCGGAGCCAAUCCUCCAAAGCUGUCCUCAGUUCAGAUUGCAGGCUGCAACUCGCCUGCAUGAAGAUGGAGUUGCUAGUAAACGCGCGUCAGCUAUAGUGCGUUGAAUACGUUCCCGGGUCUU
rnacentral:rRNA from 1 species